rnacentral:rRNA from 1 species
CUACGGGGGGGGCAAGCGUUGUUCGGAUUUACUGGGCGUAAAGGGCUCGUAGGCGGCCACUUAAGUCGGUUGUGAAACCCCUCGGCUCAACCGGGGAACUGCGACCGAAACUGGGUGGCUUGAAGCCGGGAGAGGGAUGCGGAAUUCCAGGUGUAGCGGUGAAAUGCGUAGAUAUCUGGAGGAACACCCGUGGCGAAGGCGGCAUCCUGGACCGGUCUUGACGCUGAGCAGCGAAAGCUAGGGUAGCAAACGGGAUUAGAAACCCCGGUAGUCC